rnacentral:rRNA from 1 species
CCUACGGGUGGCAGCAGUGAGGAAUAUUGGUCAAUGGACGAGAGUCUGAACCAGCCAUGCCGCGUGAAGGAAGACUGCUCUAUGGGUUGUAAACUUCUUUUAUAAGGGGGUAAACCCAGGUACGUGUGUCUUUCUGCAUGUAUCGUACGAAUAAGGAUCGGCUAACUCCGUGCCAGCAGCCGCGGUAAUACGGAGGAUCCGAGCGUUAUCCGGAUUUAUUGGGUUUAAAGGGUGCGUAGGUGGGUUGUUAAGUUAGUUGUGAAAGCCUGAGGCUCAACCGCGGAAUUGCAUUUGAUACUGGCAGGCUAGAGAGCAGUUGAGGUAGGCGGAAUGCAUGGUGUAGCGGUGAAAUGCUUAGAGAUCACACAGAACCCCGAUUGCGAAGGCAGCUUACCAAGCUAUGUCUGACGUUGAGGCACGAAAGCGUGGGGAGCAAACAGGAUUAGAUACCCGAGUAGUC